CUAAUUUCACCCAAAAAGAGUAUGGAAAAACCCUAGAAAUUGGGGAUUUUUGGGCUGAUUCCUUAAGAUAGAAAAAAGGCUGAAAACACAAUAAGAACAGAAAAUAGAUUAGAUAAUGAUUCAGCACAAGUAGAAAUAAAGAAAGAAUUGACAGUAAGAAAUUAAAAGAUAAGUCCUAAGAAGCCUUGAAAUCUCGAAAGAUCUC
rnacentral:lncRNA from 1 species